AGCGUAGCAAAGUGGUCAAUGCGUCGCACUUGUAAUGCGAAGGUCAGGGGUUCGAGCCCCCUCGCUG
rnacentral:tRNA from 1 species